rnacentral:tRNA from 1 species
GCGAGAGUGGCGGAAUUGGCAGACGCGCUGGAUUUAGGAUCCAGUGGGGCAACCCGUGCAGGUUCAAGUCCUGUCUCUCGCA